rnacentral:rRNA from 1 species
UACGUAGGGUGCGAGCGUUAAUCGGAAUUAACUGGGCGUAAAGUGUGCGCAGGCGGCGCUGCAAGUCGAGUGUGAAAUCCCCGAGCUUAACUUGGGAAUUGCGCUCGAAACUACGGCGCUGGAGUAUGGCAGAGGAAGGUGGAAUUCCACGUGUAGCGGUGAAAUGCGUAGAGAUGUGGAGGAACACCGAUGGCGAAGGCAGCCUCUGGGCCAAUACUGACGCUCAUGCACGAAAGCGUGGGGAGCAAACAGG